GAUGAACGCUGGCGGCGUGCCUAAUACAUGCAAGUCGAGCGAACGGACGAGAAGCUUGCUUCUCUGAUGUUAGCGGCGGACGGGUGAGUAACACGUGGAUAACCUACCUAUAAGACUGGGAUAACUUCGGGAAACCGGAGCUAAUACCGGAUAAUAUUUUGAACCGCAUGGUUCAAAAGUGAAAGACGGUCUUGCUGUCACUUAUAGAUGGAUCCGCGCUGCAUUAGCUAGUUGGUAAGGUAACGGCUUACCAAGGCAACGAUGCAUAGCCGACCUGAGAGGGUGAUCGCCCACACUGGAACUGAGACACGUUCCAGACUCCUACGGGAGGCAGCGGUAGGGAAUCUUCCGCGAUGGGCGAAAGCCUGACGGAGCAACGCCGCGUGAGUGAUGAAGGUCUUCGGAUCGUAAAACUCUGUUAUUAGGGAAGAACAUAUGUGUAAGUAACUGUGCACAUCUUGACGGUACCUAAUCAGAAAGCCACGGCUAACUACGUG
rnacentral:rRNA from 1 species